UUUUUCUGGGAUACCUCCAGCCACCAGAGGGCAGACAGCAGAAGCAAGAAUAACUACAAUCCUGCAGCAGGUGGAACAAAAACCAUGUUCGUAAAAAGAUAGACAAGAUAAAAAGGCAGAGGGCUAUGUACCAGAUGAAGGAACAAGAUAAAACCCCAGAAAAACAACUAAAUGAAGUAGAGAUAGGAAGC